rnacentral:piRNA from 1 species
AAUCCUCGUUCUUGAAGUUCAGAC